rnacentral:rRNA from 1 species
AGUGAACGCUGGCGGUAGGCCUAACACAUGCAAGUCGAACGGCAGCACAGUAAGAGCUUGCUCUUACGGGUGGCGAGUGGCGGACGGGUGAGGAAUACAUCGGAAUCUACUUUUUCGUGGGGGAUAACGUAGGGAAACUUACGCUAAUACCGCAUACGACCUACGGGUGAAAGCAGGGGAUCUUCGGACCUUGCGCGAUUGAAUGAGCCGAUGUCGGAUUAGCUAGUUGGCGGGGUAAAGGCCCACCAAGGCGACGAUCCGUAGCUGGUCUGAGAGGAUUAUCAGCCACACUGGAACUGAGACACGGUCCAGACUCCUACGGGAGGCAGCAGUGGGGAAUAUUGGACAAUGGGCGCAAGCCUGAUCCAGCCAUACCGCGUGGGUGAAGAAGGCCUUCGGGUUGUAAAGCCCUUUUGUUGGGAAAGAAAAGCAGCAGGUUAAUACCCCGCUGUUCUGACGGUACCUAAAGAAUAAGCACCGGCUAACUUCGUG